GUCAGACACGUGUGUGAAAGAGUAGCACGUUAUCAAUUCUGUCGGUUUUAACUGAGAACACUUUGUCUCUAUAGUAAAAUACUUGGAUCCAAUUUUUGGGCCCCCUAGGAGAACCAUCCAAGGAUCUAAUUCUGGGCCUUAAGAGAACCAUCCAAGGAUCUAAUCCUGGGCCCUAGGAGAACCAUCCAAGUUAGGACCUCACGAUCAUCCUGAGUUUUUCGUUACCAAGACGAUGGGGAGUGUCUUGGGCGGGGAAUGCGCAUGCGGUCUUCGACCCACAUCCUUCCUCCAUGUCAGUGUUUUUAGGACAUGAUAAAAAGGCCAGUUUCACGUGUGUUAUGUCACGUUGCUGUAAUGUAGAACCGUAAUAAACAGUAAAGGUCAGGCGUUA